GACGAACGCUGGCGGCGUGCCUAAUACAUGCAAGUCGAACGCACAGUUUAUACCGUAGCUUGCUACACCAUAAACUGUGAGUUGCGAACGGGGGAGUAACGCGUAGGUAACCUGCCUGGUAGCGGGGGAUAACUAUUGUAAACGAUAGCUAAUACCGCAUAAUAUUGAUUAUUGCAUGAUAAUUGAUUGAAAGAUGCUAUUGCAUCACUACCAGAUGGACCUGCGUUGUAUUAGCUAGUAGGUGAGGUAACGGCUCACCCAGGCGACGAUACAUAGCCGACCUGAGAGGGUGAUCGGCCACACUGGGACUGAGACACGGCCCAGACUCCUACGGGAGGCAGCAGUAGGGAAUCUUCGGCAAUGGACGAAAGUCUGACCGAGCAACGCCGCGUGGGUGAAGAAGGUUUUCGGAUCGUAAAGCUCUGUUGUAAGAGAAGAACGGGUGUGAGAGUGGAAAGUUCACACUUUGACGGUAUCUUACCAGAAAGGGACGGCUAACUACGG
rnacentral:rRNA from 1 species